CACGCUUAACACAUGCAAGUCGAACGAAAAAUCUCUGGUUUACCAGAGGUUUUUAGUGGCGGACGGGUGAGUAACGCGUAGGAACCUACCCCUUGGUACGGAAUAGCUAUGAGAAAUUGUAAGUAAUACCGUAUGCGCUUAUGAAAAUAAGGAAAGAUUUAUCGCCGAGGGAUGGGCCUGCGUCAGAUUAUGGUAGUUGGUGAGGUAAUGGCUCACCAAGCCUGAGAUCUGUAGCUGGUCUGAGAGGAUGAUCAGCCACACUGGGAUUGAGAUACGGCCCAGACUCCUACGGGGGGCAGCAGUGGGGAAUAUUGGACAAUGGGGGAAACCCUGAUCCAGCGAUGCCGCGUGAGUGAUGAAGGCCUUCGGGUUGUAAAGCUCUUUCAUUUAUGAUGAUAUGGACAUUAGUAAAAGAAGAAGCUCCGGCUAACUUCGUGCCAGCAGCCGCGGUAACAC
rnacentral:rRNA from 1 species